GAGGACAGUCUCCUUCCAUGGUUCAUUGAAGGAAAUUGGAGGUAAACCUGCCAACUUUGUUUCUGGCUCCAGAAACUUGUUUCUCUCUACUCAUCAAAGCAGUUUUUCAGAUUGGACAUGCUGAGGAGAGGAACUGAUUCAUUACUGAAAUCUACUGUGCUCCAUUAUGCUCGCUGAGGCAAGGGUCAGUCUGAUACUUCACUAUGGAAAAGAUUGCCAGAAGAAUGGAGAAGAGGGAAGAAGAGAUUGACUCUCUGAAUUAUAGCAUCUGUGAAGAUGAUAGUCUGACAAAGGGAAAAGGUAAGUAGAUACUAUUGUAUCACAAACUGAAAGACCAGGAACAGUUCUAAUUUGUGGUUGCUGAUAUCUGUACAAAUUUGAUCUUCUCUUUGUGAUUCUCUUUUAUUCUAAAUUAUGGCAAUUAUUCAACUUUAAUUCUAGAAAAAAAAAACAAAUAAAAAAUAAAAACAACCUAUUUGUUGAUCA
rnacentral:lncRNA from 1 species